UUUAGCCUUCCAUAAUCAUAGUUAAAUUAUUCUAUUACAGACUUAAUCAGUGUCCCGCAAGAUAUAUGUGCUGCAGAAUCCGGAUGGUACUGUAAACGAGUUAGGCAGUGGUACAGGUGGGUAGAGGUGGGGGCUGAAGGUGAGGUGGUAUUGAAUUUAGAAACUAGUAGAGACGUGACGUGAAUAAGGAGAGGGGGACGCCAAGGACCAUGCACGAAGGUCCAUCUCGUUGCAUUAUUUUAGGUGGACCUUUGGUAAGUUAGUCCCUAAUGUGCUUGAUGAGUAGUUGAGAAGAUUUCAUUGUUUGUCCUGAUGACCACCGAGCUAAUCAAAUCAGAGGCAGUUAUUUCUCUUGAACUGUGCUUAUGCCUAUAGGCCUAUUGAGUGUAAAAGUGUUUCCCUAAACCCAUUUGAUAACCUCGUUACUAGCUUGGA
rnacentral:lncRNA from 1 species